ensembl:rRNA 5S_rRNA 5S ribosomal RNA
GCCAGCAGCCAUAUCACCCUGAAACGCACAACUUGACAACUCACUGAAGCUCAGCAGGUGUGAGCCUGGUCAGUACCUGGAUGGGAGACCUCCUGGGAAAAACUAAGGUUGCUGCUGGAA